rnacentral:rRNA from 1 species
GAGUUUGAUCCUGGCUCACAACGAACGCUGGCGGCAGGCCUAACACAUGCAAGUCGAACGAUCUCUUCGGAGAGAGUGGCAGACGGGUGAGUAACGCGUGGGAACCUGUCCUGGAGUACGGAACAACAUGGGGAAACUCGUGCUAAUACCGUAUACGUCCUUUUGGAGAAAGAUUUAUCGCUCCAGGGUGGGCCCGCGUUGGAUUAGCUUGUUGGUGGGGUAAUGGCCUACCAAGGCGACGAUCCAUAGCUGUUCUGAGAGGAAGAUCAGCCACACUGGGACUGAGACACGGCCCAGACUCCUACGGGAGGCAGCAGUGGGGAAUCUUGGACAAUGGGCGCAAGCCUGAUCCAGCCAUGCCGCGUGAGUGAUGAAGGCCCUAGGGUUGUAAAGCUCUUUCAGUGGUGAGGAUAAUGACGUUAACCACAGAAGAAGCCCCGGCUAACUUCGUGCCAGCAGCCGCGGUAAUACGAAGGGGGCUAGCGUUGUUCGGAAUUACUGGGCGUAAAGCGCGCGUAGGCGGAACAGUCAGUCAGGGGUGAAAGCCCGGUGCUCAACACCGGAAAUGCCUUUGAUACUGCUGUUCUUGAGACCGGGAGAGGAGAGUGGAAUUCCCA